AUUGUUUUGGCAGAUUAGUGCUAUAAAUUUAGAAUUUAUAUAUGUAAAAUAUUUAAAAUUACAAACAAUA
rnacentral:tRNA from 1 species